rnacentral:rRNA from 2 species
GGGUUGUGAGGUUAAGCGACUAAGCGUACACGGUGGAUGCCCUGGCAGUCAGAGGCGAUGAAGGACGUGCUAAUCUGCGAAAAGCGUCGGUAAGGUGAUAUGAACCGUUACAGCCGGCGAUGUCCGAAUGGGGAAACCCAGUGCAAUUCGUUGCACUAUCGUUAACUGAAUACAUAGGUUAACGAGGCGAACCGGGGGAACUGAAACAUCUAAGUACCCCGAGGAAAAGAAAUCAACCGAGAUUCCCCCAGUAGCGGCGAGCGAACGGGGAGCAGCCCAGAGUCUGAAUCAGCUUGUGUGUUAGUGGAACGGUCUGGAAAGUCCGACGGUACAGGGUGAUAGUCCCGUACACCAAAAUGCACAGGCUGUGAACUCGAAGAGUAGGGCGGGACACGUGGUAUCCUGUCUGAAUAUGGGGGGACCAUCCUCCAAGGCUAAAUACUCCUGACUGACCGAUAGUGAACCAGUACCGUGAGGGAAAGGCGAAAAGAACCCCGGCGAGGGGAGUGAAAAAGAACCUGAAACCGUGUACGUACAAGCAGUGGGAGCACCUUCGGGUGUGACUGCGUACCUUUUGUAUAAUGGGUCAGCGACUUAUAUUCUGUAGCAAGGUUAACCGUAUAGGGGAGCCGCAGGGAAACCGAGUCUUAACUGGGCGUUAAGUUGCAGGGUAUAGACCCGAAACCCGGUGAUCUAGCCAUGGGCAGGUUGAAGGUUGGGUAACACUAACUGGAGGACCGAACCGACUAAUGUUGAAAAAUUAGCGGAUGACUUGUGGCUGGGGGUGAAAGGCCAAUCAAACCGGGAGAUAGCUGGUUCUCCCCGAAAGCUAUUUAGGUAGCGCCUCGUGAAUUCAUCUUCGGGGGUAGAGCACUGUUUCGGCUAGGGGGUCAUCCCGACUUACCAACCCGAUGCAAACUACGAAUACCGAAGAAUGUUAUCACGGGAGACACACGGCGGGUGCUAACGUCCGUCGUGAAGAGGGAAACAACCCAGACCGCCAGCUAAGGUCCCAAAGUCAUGGUUAAGUGGGAAACGAUGUGGGAAGGCACAGACAGCCAGGAUGUUGGCUUAGAAGCAGCCAUCAUUUAAAGAAAGCGUAAUAGCUCACUGGUCGAGUCGGCCUGCGCGGAAGAUGUAACGGGGCUAAACCAUGCACCGAAGCUGCGGCAGCGACACUAUGUGUUGUUGGGUAGGGGAGCGUUCUGUAAGCCUGCGAAGGUGACCUGUGAGGGUUGCUGGAGGUAUCAGAAGUGCGAAUGCUGACAUAAGUAACGAUAAAGCGGGUGAAAAGCCCGCUCGCCGGAAGACCAAGGGUUCCUGUCCAACGUUAAUCGGGGCAGGGUGAGUCGACCCCUAAGGCGAGGCCGAAAGGCGUAGUCGAUGGGAAACAGGUUAAUAUUCCUGUACUUGGUGUUACUGCGAAGGGGGGACGGAGAAGGCUAUGUUAGCCGGGCGACGGUUGUCCCGGUUUAAGCAUGUAGGCUGGUUGUCCAGGCAAAUCCGGAUAAUCAAGGCUGAGGUGUGAUGACGAGGCACUACGGUGCUGAAGUAACAAAUGCCCUGCUUCCAGGAAAAGCCUCUAAGCAUCAGGUAACAUUAAAUCGUACCCCAAACCGACACAGGUGGUCAGGUAGAGAAUACCAAGGCGCUUGAGAGAACUCGGGUGAAGGAACUAGGCAAAAUGGUGCCGUAACUUCGGGAGAAGGCACGCUGGUGUGUAGGUGAAGUCCCUGCGGAUGGAGCUGAGACCAGUCGAAGAUACCAGCUGGCUGCAACUGUUUAUUAAAAACACAGCACUGUGCAAACACGAAAGUGGACGUAUACGGUGUGACGCCUGCCCGGUGCCGGAAGGUUAAUUGAUGGGGUUAUCCGUAAGGAGAAGCUCUUGAUCGAAGCCCCGGUAAACGGCGGCCGUAACUAUAACGGUCCUAAGGUAGCGAAAUUCCUUGUCGGGUAAGUUCCGACCUGCACGAAUGGCGUAAUGAUGGCCAGGCUGUCUCCACCCGAGACUCAGUGAAAUUGAACUCGCUGUGAAGAUGCAGUGUACCCGCGGCAAGACGGAAAGACCCCGUGAACCUUUACUAUAGCUUGACACUGAACAUUGAGCCUUGAUGUGUAGGAUAGGUGGGAGGCUUUGAAGCGUGGACGCCAGUCUGCGUGGAGCCAACCUUGAAAUACCACCCUUUAAUGUUUGAUGUUCUAACGUUGGCCCCUUACCGGGGUUGCGGACAGUGUCUGGUGGGUAGUUUGACUGGGGCGGUCUCCUCCCAAAGCGUAACGGAGGAGCACGAAGGUUAGCUAAUCCUGGUCGGACAUCAGGAGGUUAGUGCAAUGGCAUAAGCUAGCUUGACUGCGAGCGUGACGGCGCGAGCAGGUGCGAAAGCAGGUCAUAGUGAUCCGGUGGUUCUGAAUGGAAGGGCCAUCGCUCAACGGAUAAAAGGUACUCCGGGGAUAACAGGCUGAUACCGCCCAAGAGUUCAUAUCGACGGCGGUGUUUGGCACCUCGAUGUCGGCUCAUCACAUCCUGGGGCUGAAGUAGGUCCCAAGGGUAUGGCUGUUCGCCAUUUAAAGUGGUACGCGAGCUGGGUUUAGAACGUCGUGAGACAGUUCGGUCCCUAUCUGCCGUGGGCGCUGGAGAAUUGAGGGGGGCUGCUCCUAGUACGAGAGGACCGGAGUGGACGCAUCACUGGUGUUCGGGUUGUCAUGCCAAUGGCACUGCCCGGUAGCUAAAUGCGGAAGAGAUAAGUGCUGAAAGCAUCUAAGCACGAAACUUGCCCCGAGAUGAGUUCUCCCUGAGACUUUAAGUCUCCUGAAGGAACGUUAAAGACGAUGACGUUGAUAGGCCGGGUGUGUAAGCGCAGCGAUGCGUUGAGCUAACCGGUACUAAUGAACCGUGAGGCUUAACCUUACAACGCCGAAG